UACGUAGGGUGCGAGCGUUGUCCGGAAUUAUUGGGCGUAAAGAGCUUGUAGGCGGUUUGUCGCGUCUGCCGUGAAAAUCCGGGGCUCAACCCCGGACUUGCAGUGGGUACGGGCAGACUAGAGUGUGGUAGGGGAGACUGGAAUUCCUGGUGUAGCGGUGAAAUGCGCAGAUAUCAGGAGGAACACCGGUGGCGAAGGCGGGUCUCUGGGCCGUAACUGACGCUGAGGAGCGAAAGCGUGGGGAGCGAACAGG
rnacentral:rRNA from 1 species